CCAGGUGUACCUGGAGUGAAAACUGUGGGAUGCCCAGAAACAGAAGUAACUCUGAAAAGGAGGCUUUCCUUCCAUAACUGUGGGACUGCCUGCAGCCCAGUGAUUUUAUUUUACAUUUCCAGAGCAGUUAUGGAACUGACGUAGUUGUUUUAACAUGGUCCAUCCUAAGAAUGCUGAACAUCAGACUGGGACAAAUCUUGCCUGCUCUCACUGUGACACCAGCACGGAAAGAAAGGAGAGAAGUGCCAUGCCCUGCAGAAGUGGGGGAAAGCAGACAUAGUUCCUCCCACCUGACUCAUAGGACAGCAGAGCAGCUGAUCCUGCUGGGUCUGAAGGUUCCUGCCUGGUGUCUCUGAUGCUUGACAUUAUACAACUAAGCAGGAUUUUGAGGCUUGCAGAA